ensembl:lncRNA
CCCCAGCCAAUUCUGGUGAUCUACAUCCUCAUUUCCCCCCAGUGCCUUAGGAGCCAUCUCUGACUGACUGUCUCCUCCUCCCUUCAGCUCCCCAACCUCUUUUCUCCCUCAUCCAGUCAUGCCCUGCACUGAGACAGGGGAUGAGGAGCAGAAAGCAUCGUCAUCCUGGCAAGGAGCAGGGAAUGGGGGCAUUCCUGCAGCAGUGACAGUGGGAACUCGGUCAUAAAGCAAAAGACAGAGGGAGGAGAGCCUCCAACACUGGGAAGUUUUCAUGGCAAUCAAGGCACGGAUCUGAUCUCUGGGCCCUCAUCAGCGUGAAUGGAGCUGACACAGCGGCUGAGCCCAGCGCUGCUGCAGCGCAGACCUGACGGCUGUUCCUGGAGAGAGCACAG